UCGGGUAUGGUGUAACGGCUAACAUUGCCGCCUUUCAAGUGGUUCUUCACGUGGCAGCUCGGGGUUCGAUUCCCCGUACCCGAA